CGCGUUCCCAUAUUCUGUACGAGUGUAAUUCUCCGCCGCAAUCGAGACCAUUGCUCACGUUGUAACUCUCGUUUCCGAAAUUGUCCGAAGUCACAUUCAUGUCUGAAGAGUUCGCUAUUGCUGAAAAAUAUUUUGUCCUUCCUCGCACUUUUCGCAUGCAAGCUAGCGAAUGAAACACGCGCGUACACACGCACGUACGCAUGUAAAACGACGGUUGAAAAAAACGGCUCCUCUGGACGCUUAUUUCCAGUCUUUAAGGAACAGAGGGAUGCGUCAACUGCAUACCCUUUUCACUGAUCUCGUUGAUGGCGCGUGGUCUAAAGUUGGUGCAAAUCUGUGAAUAUAACAAAACAUGUAUGUGUGCAGUGGAUCGGUAAAAAAAAAAAAAAAUAUUCAAAGUGAAGUAUUGAAAUGUUAAACGAUAUAAAAGAUAUACUUAAAAUCUUGAUCUGAAGAAUGAUCUUGCAUGAAAAAUAAAAACAUAUUUUAUUUUAGCGUGAUUCAAGCAUUUUUGGAUAACGUAAAUUAAAUUAAGAAAUUGAUAUUCAUUACCGGCCAUAUGAUCCAUACCAGUAUCCAGGCUGCCGUUGCCAUCAUCGAUGCUAAUAUGCUCUGGGAUGAUCAAGCAAGCAUACUCAAGCACGCCGCAAUGUGUAGCCAAACAGAGAGAAAUCAUUUUGAGUACUUACGAUGAUUCUGUAAAAAUAAUCGAUUAAGAUAAAAAUCAUAAGAAAGGCAAAAUGAUUAGAAAUAAGAUAAAGAAUAAUUCAAGAGAAAAAAAUCAAAAUCAUUUAAAAAUUAUAAACUAUUCCAUAUAUAAAUAAUUGCAAAUAAAAUUAACAAUCCUUCUUAAAUUUGUUUGGUGAUUAUAAUAAGUUAGAAUUCAUAUUUAUAAAAAUAUAGCAAGUAUGAUUAAAAUCUAAUGAAACCAAUUGAAAGGACAGCAGAAAGUGUCUGUUUUAAGUGUGAUUCUAGAAAAAAAGAGCCGAUCUUGGUGACGUUUUCCUUGAAUACGAUUCUACGAACCACUCUUUGGUACGUCUGUUGGCAGUGAGCCGAAUGAGACGCGCAACUGUCCCGAACAAUUCAACUUCUGAUCUUAACUUUGUAGAAUUCACUCCAUUAAAUUAAAUUUUAUUGCUCGGAUGUGAAGUAAUCGUGGAACGAGCCAAGUCGAUCGAUCCUUUUUUUGCACUAUUUGCUGGAAUUUUGUUGGGAAAUUGAAACACGUGUUUGUAUUUUUCUUUUAUUAUUUUUUUUAAUUUCAAAAUUGAAUUUAAAAGAUACAGAUGUUCAAAAAAAUAUUAAUUUCGAAAUGACCAAUCGUAGGUAAAGUAGAUAUAUGUAUAUUCUCUGCAACAGUCUAAUUUAAUUUUUCAAAUUGUUUUAAUAAAAUUUGCUUUUUCACACAAUUCCCGCGUAAGCUUAUCAGUUCAGUCAGGUAACUAUAUUAAUUUCUUAGGUAGUCUAAUUAGCUGUUCAGAUAACUUUAUUAAGUACUCAUACAGCUACCAUAAAUUUAUUAACCAUGUACUUUAGAUAGAGCUCCCUGUUCCAAUAGUUCGAUGUAUCGGCACGAAUACUCAUAUUGGAUUGCACUCAUAUUCGCAAGAUUUUUCUAUCAUUUUUUAAUAAUACGUUAUACAUUGUACGAUAUUAGAGAUCCCCUGACUGCGUUACGUUGUUAACGAUGUAUAAUGCCUCGACAAGAUUGUCCAUUGUUUCUUCGAAACAAUGCCGAUCGUACAAUCUACUGGAAAUCCGUCAAAACUUCUGCAUUCAUGCAAUAUUACACGAACACGAUAAUAUUUAUAUUUAAAAGCGCACAAAUAACGUUUCACAAAAAAAAUAAAGGAAAUUCUCGCGCUGAAUCUUAACCAAUGUCAUGGAUCUACAUUAAAAUGUAAAAUGAAUGCGUUAUAAUUAAAGUCUUAUUGUAUACAAGUUCCUAACCUAUAAACAUAAAGUACGAAGAUACGAGAGCGGAGAAGAAAAGGGAGAAAG